AGAGUUUGAUCCUGGCUCAGGAUGAACGCUGGCGGCGUGCCUAACACAUGCAAGUCGAACGGAGCUGCUUUGAUGAAGUUUUCGGAUGGAUUUAAAACAGCUUAGUGGCGGACGGGUGAGUAACGCGUGGGUAACCUGCCUCACACUGGGGGAUAACAGUUAGAAAUAGCUGCUAAUACCGCAUAAGCGCACGGUUCCGCAUGGAACAGUGUGAAAAACUCCGGUGGUGUGAGAUGGACCCGCGUCUGAUUAGCCAGUUGGCGGGGUAACGGCCCACCAAAGCGACGAUCAGUAGCCGGCCUGAGAGGGUGAACGGCCACAUUGGGACUGAGACACGGCCCAAACUCCUACGGGAGGCAGCAGUGGGGAAUAUUGCACAAUGGGGGAAACCCUGAUGCAGCGACGCCGCGUGAGUGAAGAAGUAUUUCGGUAUGUAAAGCUCUAUCAGCAGGGAAGAAAGUGACGGUACCUGAAUAAGAAGCCCCGGCUAACUACGUGCCAGCAGCCGCGGUAAUACGUAGGGGGCAAGCGUUAUCCGGAUUUACUGGGUGUAAAGGGAGCGUAGACGGCAUGGCAAGUCUGAAGUGAAAUGCGGGGGCUCAACCCCUGAACUGCUUUGGAAACUGUCAGGCUGGAGUGCAGGAGAGGUAAGUGGAAUUCCUAGUGUAGCGGUGAAAUGCGUAGAUAUUAGGAGGAACACCAGUGGCGAAGGCGGCUUACUGGACUGUAACUGACGUUGAGGCUCGAAAGCGUGGGGAGCAAACAGGAUUAGAUACCCUGGUAGUCCACGCCGUAAACG
rnacentral:rRNA from 1 species